rnacentral:rRNA from 1 species
CGCGCAGGCUGUGCUGCAAGUCAGCUGUGAAAUGUCUGGGCUUAACCCGGGCAUGCGGUUGAGACUGCAGUGCUGGAGUGCUGUAGAGGCAAGUGGAAUUCCCAGUAUAGCGGUGAAAUGCGUAGAUAUUGGGAAGAACACCGGUGGCGAAGGCGACUUGCUGGGCAGCAACUGACGCUGAGGCGCGAAAGCCAGGGGAGCAAACG